rnacentral:rRNA from 1 species
GCUAGGGCUGAAACCUUGCGGGAAGGUUCAUUAAUGAACAACUACUACAAGUUUUUUAUAUCCCAUCGCCUUACCUACCCUGUUGCUUCCACUGGACAUGUUUUACCUUUGUUGUAAGACCUUUGGCUUGCGUGAAUAACUCAUGCCAUAGAGUUGCCGGUGGGAACACCAUCUACCAAAACUUGAUUGAAAACAAAUUGUCUGAAUCUUUUGCUUUAAUGAAAUAAAACUUUCAACAACGGAUCUCUAGGCUCUUGCAUCGAUGAAGAACGCAGUGAAAUGCGAUAAGUAAUGUGAAUUGCAGAAUCUCGUGAAUCAUCGAAUCUUUGAACGCACAUUGCGCCCUAUGGUAUUCCGUUUGGCAUGCCUGUCUGAGCGUCCUCUCCCUUCUCCUCACGCAUUCUUUUUGGAAUACUUGGAUAACUUUGCAGAGGUGACUUAUAAUAAAGUCCUCCUUCAGAACUUCAUACGCCCUAUGAUUUGUACUCCCAUCUUACGAAUGAAUACCUCAGAUCUUUAUUUGAUACUCGCUGAGCUUGCCUCAUCUCACCCACUCUUUAUUCUUUUGGGUGACCUCAGAUCAGGUAGGGAUACCCGCUGAAACUUAAGCAUAUCAAUAAGCCGGAGGGAAAAA